rnacentral:tRNA from 1 species
ACCCUAGUAGUAUAUACAAAUUACAGUAAACUGCAACUUUACCAAAGCGCUUCGCCGAGGGUU